rnacentral:rRNA from 1 species
UUCAGAGGAACCUGCCCUGUAAUUGAUAAACCACGAUUUAAUUUACUUAUUUUAUUAGUUUGCAUAUCGCCAUAGGUUGAAUAUUUUUUAAGAAUAUUAAUAUUCAAUAAUUUUUAUAAAAAAAUAAAUUAGGUCAAGGUGUAGCUUAUAGGUAAGAAGAGGUGGGUUACAAUAAAAUUAUUUAAGCGAAUUAAAUUUUUAAAAUUUUUAUGAAGUUGGAUUUGAAAGUAAUUUUAAUUAUUUUAUUAAGAUGAUUUUAGCUCUAAAAUAUGUACAUAUCGCCCGUCACUUUCACUACAAAGUGGAAUAAGUCGUAACAUAGUAGGUGUACUGGAAAGUGUAUCUAGAACGGCAAAUUAGAGCUUGUUAUAAAGCAUUUUAUUUACAUUAAAAAGUUUAUUGUGAAAAUCAGUAUAAUUUGAAUUUUAAAUAUUAUUGUUAUUAAAAUUUUUAUCUUAUUUUAAAAAAAUAAUUUAUUGUUAUAUUAUAUAAGUAGAAAAAAUUUAUUUUAUUAUAGUGAAUUAGUAUUGUUAAAGAAUUAUUAAAAAUAUUUUAAAAAAUAAUUUAAUUUUAGUACCUUGUGCAUCAGGGUUUAUUAAUUAAAUAUUAUAAAUUUUAUUUUUCUCGAAUUUAAAAGAGCUAUAAAAUUAUAUUUUUUAUUGUAGAAUAAAUAUUAUUAAUAAUUUUAUUGUAAUGAAAUGUUAUUCGUUUUUUUAUAUAUCUAGUUUUUUAAGAAAAAAAUUUAAUUUUUUUAAUAGUAAUAUUUUUUUAAAUUGUUAAUGUAAUAUUAUUAUUAUUAAAUAUUUUUAGGGAUGAGCUUAAAAAUAUAGUUUUAUAAAUAAAUUUAAUUAUUUAAAUAAAUAGGAUUAUAAAUUUUCAUUUUUAAAUAAUAUGUUAUAAUUAAUUUAAUAGUAAAUAUAAUUUAAAUUUAUUUUAAUUUUUUUAUUAAAAUAUUUGUUUUAAUUAUAAAUAUAAAAAAAUAAUGAUAAAAUUAGUAUAAUUUUUUGUAUUUUUAUUUACUUUAAAGGUUAAGUAAAGGAAUUCGGCAAAUAAUUUUCCACCUGUUUAUUAAAAACAUGUCCUUUUGAUUAUAAUUUUAGGUCUAACCUGCCCAAUGAAAUAUUAAAUGGCCGCGGUAUUUUGACCGUGCAAAGGUAGCAUAAUCAUUUGUUUUUUAAUUGAAAGCUUGUAUGAAAGGUUGAAUGAGAAAAUAGCUGUCUCUAUUUAAAUUAAUUAAAAUUUUAUUUUUAAGUUAAAAAGCUUAGUUGAUUUUUGAAGACGAGAAGACCCUAUAGAGUUUAAUAAUUUAAUAAAUUAAAGUUUUAGGGAUUAAUUUAAUUUUAUUUAUAAAAUUAUUUAAUUGGGGUGAUUAAAAAAUUUAUUAAACUUUUUUUUUAUUUUUACAUAAAUUUAUGAAUAAUUGAUCCUUAAAGUUAAGAUUAAAAGAAUAAAUUACCUUAGGGAUAACAGCGUAAUUUUUUUUUAGAGUUCAAAUUAAAAAAAAAGAUUGCGACCUCGAUGUUGGAUUAAAAUUUAUAUUUGGUGUAGAAGCUAAAUGGUUAGGUCUGUUCGACCUUUAAAAUUUUACUUGAUCUGAGUUCAAACCGGUGUAAGCCAGGUUGGUUUCUAUCUCGAAAAAGGUAAAAUAUUUUAGUACGAAAGGACCAAUUAUUUGGAUAAUAAUUUUUUAUAGUGAAUAAUAUUGUUAUUUUGGCAGAAUAGUGCGAUAGAUUUAGGAUCUUUAUAUGUAAUUUUUACAAAUAACACUUGUUAUUAAAAGAUAUUUUUAUAGUUAUAUUUUCUAGGUUAAUUUUAAUUUUUUGUGUAAUAAUUAGUGUUGCCUUUUUAACAUUAUUAGAACGAAAGGUUUUAGGAUAUAUUCAAAUUC